GGAUGACGCUGGCGGCGUGCCUUACACAUGCAGUCGAGCGGCUGCGGGUUGCUUGCUGCCGUAUUCAGCGGCGGACGGGUGAGUAAUGCCUCGGAAUCUGCCCGGUAGUGGGGGAUAACGUUUCGAAAGGAACGCUAAUACCGCAUACGUCCUACGGGAGAAAGCAGGGGACCUUCAGACCUUGCGUUUUCUGAUGAGCCUAGGUCGGAUUAACUAGUUGGUGAGGUAAUGGCUCAAGGGGCGACGAUCCGUAACUGGUCUGAUAGGAUGAUCAGUCACACUGGAACUGAGACACGGCCCAGACUCCUACGGGAGGCAGCAGUGGGGAAUUUUGGACAAUGGGCGAAAGCCUGAUCCAGCCAUGCCGCGUGUGUGAAGAAGGGCUUCGGAUUGUAAAGCACUUUAGUUUGGGAGGAAGGGCUGUCAGUUAAUACCUUGCUGUCUUGACGUUACCAACAGAAUAAGCACCGGCUAACUUCCGCCCGCCCGCCGCCGGUA
rnacentral:rRNA from 1 species